AUGAUCAUCAACAUCACACACUCAACACUGACUGUAAUGUUAUCAUCUAAAAACUCCAGAAAAUCAAUAACCAGGACAAAUAUAAUGUAUCAUGAUCAGGUUUAAACUCAUCAAAUUAGUAAACAUAUAUGAAUGAAUGAAGAGACAGAGACUGUGUGUGUGUGUGUGUGUGCGUGUGUGUGUGUGUGUGUGUGUGUGUGUGUGUGUGUGUGUGUGUACUAACAUUUAUGUCGGUGUGGGUUCCCAUCGGUGGGAGCACAUCCACCUAAGGAGUUCCAAAAUCGGAGUGGGGCCCAAAAUGGUGGGCCCCAAUCCGAUUUCAAUUAAAAUAAGCUCAGCAGCUUCCCCUGAUGCUACCAUUGCUUUUUUUUUCAUCUCUAAAAAGUGGCCCGUAAGGUAGCAAAAAGUGGGCGCGAAAGUAAGGAAAACUGCGGAAAUUGCACAAGAAGAAGUAGAAGAAGAAGAAGAAGACUUCAAGGAUUGAAGAUUGAAGACAGAAGAAGACGGAGUGGUUGAAAAUCUGAAUAUUUUUACAAAUACCGACCUCUGAUGCAACAGGGCCAUUAUGUCCACAAGGAGGAUGAGGAAAAAGCCUAUAGAUGAUGCAAAGACAUACAUUCUGUCUUGCACUGACAAGGAUGGGUUUAUGCCAAGAUUCAUUGACCAUUACAAAGGAAGAGGAGUGUUUGCCACACACCCCAUUGAACCCGGGGACUUCGUGUUGGAGUACAGGGGUAAACUCCUCACACAGGUGGAAUGACAACCACAAAAANNNNNNNNNNNNNNNNNNNNNNNNNNNNNNNNNNNNNNNNNNNNNNNNNNNNNNNNNNNNNNNNNNNNNNNNNNNNNNNNNNNNNNNNNNNNNNNNNNNNAGAUAACGGUCACUGCGAAGGUGCAGUGAAGGGCAGAUAACGUCACUGCGAAGGUGCAGUGAAGGGCAGAUAAGGUCACUGCGAAGGUGCAGUGAAGGGCAGAUAACGGUCACUGCGAAGGUGCAGUGAAGGGCAGAUAACGUUCACUGCGAAGGUGCAGUGAAGGGUAACGUCGAAGGUGCAGUGAAGGGCAGAUAACGUUCACUGCGAAGGUGCAGUGAAGUGAAAGGGCAGAUAACGUUCACUUGCGAAGGUGCAGUGAAGGGUAGAUAACGUUCACUGCGAAGGUGCAGUGAAGGGCAGAUAACGGUCACUGCGAAGGUGCAGUGAAGGGCAGAUAACGGUCACUGCGAAGGUGCACUGAAGGGUAGAUAACUGUAACUGAAGUAGUAUUGACAAAGGCACUAACAUAAAGAGAACAACUCUAGAUUUUAGACAUGGCCCUUGCAUUGUAAAGUUGCUACAUAGCCACUUCAUCUACUUAGCACCAUGUUUUACUCUUCCACUGAAAAUCAAAAAGAAAACCUUUGCAGAACUCAUUGUAUCAUAUAGUUUGGAGCUCUGCCUGGCAGCUGUGACAGUAGUUUCCCUUCAGGUACUCCACAACAAAGUCACCUUUGAAUAGGACGUUCAGUGGGCAAAAAAACCCUGGGGCCUGUUCUUCGUACGUAGCUAACUCAGUUAGCUGGAUUUGAUUGUUGACGAUUUGGCGUGAUCUUGGAUCGUUUGGGUUUCUUCGAAGCUCAUUCCGGAGCUGCUGUCAUAGCAACAGGUCCGUUAGCUUAAACCUGCUCGGGAGCAGCUUAUUUCAUGUAAACAGGAUUAGAAUCGCUUCUUUUCAACCAGAACUGAUACUCAAAAUAUGUCUGCUAGCACCCGCUAGUUUAUUACAAGAGUAUCGUAACUGAUCCAGGGACAAUAAUUAAAAAAUAAUAAUCAUUAAAAAAAAUUUUUUUUAAAUAAUAUAAAAAUGCUGUGUAGUACAUAACAGCCUGCUAUAGACACAGCCAGUUUUACUCACUGAAAUAUUUGUCAAAGUUUAUUCUUACAACCAUGCUAUACAGAUAAUAGAGUCGUGCAUUAUUUUGAGUGAUGACUGCUAUUAUUCGAAGUGGCUUGAUGGAAGCGCAGGGAGAUGCAGAUAACAUGAG
rnacentral:lncRNA from 1 species